AUACCACCCUUUAAUGUUUGAUGUUCUAACGUUGACCCGUGAUCCGGGUUGCGGACAGUGUCUGGUGGGUAGUUUGACUGGGGCGGUCUCCUCCUAAAGAGUAACGGAGGAGCACGAAGGUUGGCUAAUCCUGGUCGGACAUCAGGAGGUUAGUGCAAUGGCAUAAGCCAGCUUGACUGCGAGCGUGACGGCGCGAGCAGGUGCGAAAGCAGGUCAUAGUGAUCCGGUGGUUCUGAAUGGAAGGGCCAUCGCUCAACGGAUAAAAGGUACUCCGGGGAUAACAGGCUGAUACCGCCCAAGAGUUCAUAUCGACGGCGGUGUUUGGCACCUCGAUGUCGGCUCAUCACAUCCUGGGGCUGAAGUAGGUCCCAAGGGUAUGGCUGUUCGCCAUUUAAAGUGGUACGCGAGCUGGGUUUAGAACGUCGUGAGACAGUUCGGUCCCUAUCUGCCGUGGGCGCUGGAGAACUGAGGGGGGCUGCUCCUAGUACGAGAGGACCGGAGUGGACGCAUCACUGGUGU
rnacentral:rRNA from 1 species